CCGUGGAGGCGCGAACCGACCUAGGUUGAAAACUGGGCGGAUGACCUGUGGAUAGGGGUGAAAGGCCAAUCAAACUCGGUGAUAGCUGGUUCUCCGCGAAAUGCAUUUAGGUGCAGCGUCGCAUGUUCAGCCAUGGAGGUAGAGCACUGGAUGGGUUAGGGGGCCUACAAGCUUACCGACCCCAGCCAAACUCCGAAUGCCAUGGCUCCAGAGUGCGGCAGUGAGUCCUCGGGGGAUGAGCUUCGAUGGACGAAAGGGAAACAGCCCAGACCGCCGACUAAGGCCCCAAAGUUCUGACUAAGUGGUAAACGAAGUGGGAUUGCCCAGACAGCCAGGAUGUUGGCUUAGAAGCAGCCACCAUUGAAAGAGUGCGUAACAGCUCACUGGUCGAGUGAUCCCGCGCGGAAAAUGUAACGGGGCUCAAGUCAGACGCCGAAGUCGCGGACUUCUGCUUUGCAGGAGUGGUAGCGGAGCGUCGAGCCUGGAGCGAAGCGGCGGUGUAAACCGACGUGGACCGGGCUCGAGUGAGAAUGUAGGCAUGAGUAGCGAGAGAGGGGUGAGAAACCCCUCCGCCGGAAGUCCAAGGGUUCCUGGGGAAGGAUAAUCCUCCCAGGGUGAGUCGGGAGCUAAGGCGAGGCCGAGAGGCGUAGUCGAUGCACAACCGGUUGAUAUUCCGGUACCACGGGUUGCGCGACAAACGCCGACCUGCAGUUGCUAAGGGGAUGGUCGGCCCUUCGGGGCCGACAGGAACCGACCCACUGCGGCGAGGCGAGUGAUGCGGGGACGCAGGAAGGUAGAUGAUCCCAGGCGAUGGUUGUCCUGGGGCAAGCGUGUAGGCCGAGGCGUAGGUAAGUCCGCUCCUCAUAAAGGCUGAGACGUGACGCCGAGCCGUUCAAGGCGAAGUCAUUGAUCCUCUGCUGCCAAGAAAAGCCGCUAGCGAGUGCAACCGGUGCCCGUACCCCAAACCAACUCAGGUGGACAGGUAGAGAAUACCAAGGCGAUUGGGAGAACUAUGGUUAAGGAACUCGGCAAAUUGCAUCCGUAACUUCGGGAGAAGGAUGACCGCAUUAGGGUAAAAGAACUUAGCGUUCUUAGCUCGAAGCGGUGACACAAACCAGGGGAAAGCGACUGUUUACUAAAAACACAGCAGCGUGCAAAGUCCUAAGACGACGUAUACGCUGUGACGCCUGCCCGGUGCCGGAAGGUUACGGGGAAGGGUCAGCCUUCGGGCGAAGCUCUGAACCUAAGCCCCGGUAAACGGCGGCCGUAACUAUAACGGUCCUAAGGUAGCGAAAUUCCUUGUCGGGUAAGUUCCGACCUGCACGAAUGGCGUAACGACUUUCCUACUGUCUCAACCAUAGACCCAGCGAAAUUGAAGUACGAGUAAAGAUGCUCGUUAGCUGCAGAAGGACGGAAAGACCCCGUGGACCUUUACUACAGCUUGGUAUUGGUAUUUGUUAUGCGUUGUGUAGGAUAGGUGGGAGACUUUGAAGCGUUGGCGCUAGCCAAUGUGGAGUCAACCUUGAAAUACCACCCUGCGUUUGACGGAUAUCUAACCUGGGCCCGUUAUCCGGGUCGGGAACAGUGCCAGGUGGGUAGUUUGACUGGGGCGGUCGCCUCCUAAAAAGUAACGGAGGCGCCCAAAGGUUCCCUCAGUCUGGUUGGCAAUCAGACGUCGAGUGCAAUGGCACAAGGGAGCUUGACUGCGAGACUUACAAGUCGAGCAGGUGCGAAAGCAGGGCAUAGUGAUCCGGCGGUUGCGUGUGGAAGCGCCGUCGCUCAACGGAUAAAAGGUACCCCGGGGAUAACAGGCUUAUCUUCCCCAAGAGUCCAUAUCGACGGGAAGGUUUGGCACCUCGAUGUCGGCUCAUCGCAUCCUGGGGCUGAAGCAGGUCCCAAGGGUUGGGCUGUUCGCCCAUUAAAGCGGUACGCGAGCUGGGUUUAGAACGUCGUGAGACAGUUCGGUCCCUAUCCUCUGCAGCCGGAGGAGAUUUGAGAAAGGCUGUCCCUAGUACGAGAGGACCGGGAUGGACGUAGCUCUAGUGUGCCAGUUGUUCCGCCAGGAGCAUGGCUGGUUGGCCACCUACGGAAGGGAUAACCGCUGAAAGCAUCUAAGUGGGAAGCCCGUUUCAAGAUGAGAUCUCCCACCGGGUUAACCGGGUAAGGCCCGUGGCAGACCACCACGUUGAUAGGCCGGAGGUGUACGUGCGGUAACGCAUUCAGCCGACCGGUACUAAUCGGCCGAGGGCUUGGUUACACAUCGACAGUUGUUGUCGACGUUCGUGUUCGCUGUGGAG
rnacentral:rRNA from 1 species